rnacentral:tRNA from 1 species
GGAGGGGUGUCUGAGUGGUCGAAAGAGCACGCCUGGAAAGUGUGUAUACGCCAAAAGUGUAUCGAGGGUUCGAAUCCCUCCUCCUCCG